AUGCGACCUGAGGGCUACAGAUAUUUCGUCAGCUUACGGUGGUCUAGCCCGUUGAACGCGUUGAAGAAUUCACCAGCGGGAGUCGUGGCCGUUCAGAGUAGAUCCGCGGGGUUCUCGUCAGAGGGAAGCACAGAGGGUUUGUUCGGUGUGCCUUCGAAACUCGUGGGUCAAUUUUUUGACGGCGAGGGCGCAGUACCGUGUCCAGAUUCGCAUAGGAUGAAGGGUGCGGUGAGGAUGCUAUUGCGGUAG